GACGGAGGGGGCAAGCGUUGUCCGGACUCACUGGGCGUAAAGAGCUUGUAGGCGGUUUGUCGCGUCUGCUGUGAAAUCUCAAGGCUCAACCUUGAGCUUGCAGUGGGUACGGGCAGACUAGAGUGUGGUAGGGGAGACUGGAAUUCCUGGUGUAGCGGUGAAAUGCGCAGAUAUCAGGAGGAACACCGAUGGCGAAGGCAGGUCUCUGGGCCACUACUGACGCUGAGAAGCGAAAGCAUGGGGAGCGAACAGG
rnacentral:rRNA from 1 species